ACUCCAUGAAGUCGGAAUCGCUAGUAAUCGUAGAUCAGAAUGCUACGGUGAAUACGUUCCCGGGCCUUGUACACACCGCCCGUCACACCAUGGGAGUGGGUUGCAAAAGAAGUAGGUAGCUUAACCUUCGGGAGGGCGCUUACCACUUUGUGAUUCAUGACUGGGGUGAAGUCGUAACAAGGUAACCGUAGGGGAACCUGCGGUUGGAUCACCUCCUUACCUUAAAGAA
rnacentral:rRNA from 2 species